rnacentral:ncRNA from 1 species
UCGUAAGUCGUCGCACCCCAUAUGCGCUGCGGCGGCGAGCUUCGUUCGUCCUUCGAGGGAUCAGGCGAAGUUUCACCAGAAAAAGGAA